ACGGGUGAGUAACACGUGGGCAACCUGCCCCUUAGACUGGGAUAACUCCGGGAAACCGGAGCUAAUACCGGAUAAUCCCUUUCUCCACCUGGAGAGAGGGUGAAAGAUGGCUUCGGCUAUCACUAGGGGAUGGGCCCGCGGCGCAUUAGCUAGUUGGUAAGGUAACGGCUUACCAAGGCGACGAUGCGUAGCCGACCUGAGAGGGUGAUCGGCCACACUGGGACUGAGACACGGCCCAGACUCCUACGGGAGGCAGCAGUAGGGAAUCUUCCGCAAUGGACGAAAGUCUGACGGAGCAACGCCGCGUGAGUGAGGAAGGCCUUCGGGUCGUAAAGCUCUGUUGUGAGGGAAGAAGCGGUACCGUUCGAAUAGGGCGGUACCUUGACGGUACCUCACCAGAAAGCCACGGCUAACUACGUGCCAGCAGCCGCGGUAAUACGUAGGUGGCAAGCGUUGUCCGGAAUUAUUGGGCGUAAAGCGCGCGCAGGCGGCUUCUUAAGUCUGAUGUGAAAUCUCGGGGCUCAACCCCGAGCGGCCAUUGGAAACUGGGGAGCUUGAGUGCAGAAGAGGAGAGUGGAAUUC
rnacentral:rRNA from 1 species